rnacentral:rRNA from 1 species
UUCCGGUUGAUCCUGCCGGAGGUUACUGCUAUCGAGGUUCGACUAAGCCAUGCGAGUCGAAUGUAGCAAUACAUGGCGAACUGCUCAGUAACACGUGGACAACCUGCCCUUAGGACGGGGAUAAACCCGGGAAACUGGGUAUAAUACCCGAUAGGUCUCGAUUGCUGGAAUGCAUCGAGAUUUAAAGCUCCGGCGCCUAAGGAUGGGUCUGCGGCCUAUCAGGUAGUAGUGGGUGUAGCGUACCUACUAGCCUACGACGGGUACGGGUUGUGAGAGCAAGAGCCCGGAGAUGGAUUCUGAGACACGAAUCCAGGCCCUACGGGGUGCGGCAGGCGCGAAAACUUUACAAUGCUGGCAACAGCGAUAAGGGAACCUCGAGUGCCAGGUUACAAAUCUGGCUGUCGAGAUGCCUAAAAAGCAUUUCAUAGCAAGGGCCGGGCAAGACCGGUGCCAGCCGCCGCGGUAACACCGGCGGCUCGAGUGGUAACCGUUAUUAUUGGGUCUAAAGGGUCUGUAGCCGGCCGGAUAAGUCUCUUGAGAAAUCUGGCAGCUUAACUGUCAGGCUUUCAGGAGAUACUGUCUGGCUCGAGGCCGGGAGAGGUGAGAGGUACUUCAGGGGUAGGGGUGAAAUCUUGUAAUCCUUGAAGGACCACCAGUGGCGAAGGCGUCUCACCAGAACGGACCUGACGGCAAGGGACGAAAGCUAGGGGCACGAACCGGAUUAGAUACCCGGGUAGUCCUAGCCGUAAACGAUACUCGCUAGGUGUCGGCCACGGUGCGACCGUUGUCGGUGCCGUAGGGAAGCCGUGAAGCGAGCCACCUGGGAAGUACGGCCGCAAGGCUGAAACUUAAAGGAAUUGGCGGGGGAGCACCACAACGGGUGGGAGCUUGCGGUUUAAUUUGGAUUCAA